CAGUCGCCGCGGUAAUACGAGGGGUGCAAGCGUUAUUCGGAUUGAUUGGGUGUAAAGGGUGCGCAGACGGCUUAUUAAGUCACUUGUUAAAUUCUUCGGCCUAACUGAAGGUCUGCAAGUGAUACUGAUGAGCUAGAGGGUGGAAGAGAGAAGUGGAAUUCUCGGAGUAGCGGUAAAAUGCGUAGAUCUCGAGAGGAACACCAAUGGCGAAGGCAGCUUCUUGGUCCAUUCCUGACGUUCAUACACGAAAGCGUGGGGAGCAAACAGGAUUAGAUACCCGCGUAGUCCCUGUCUCUUAUAC
rnacentral:rRNA from 1 species